rnacentral:lncRNA from 1 species
UAGGUUAUUUCCCCCAAAUGCUAUAACUAUCUAAGAACUCACAUCAAAAUUGAUGAAGAUGGUGAGAUGAAAUGAUGGAGAAGAUGACAUGAUAAUGGUGGAGGUUUCCAUGGCUUCCUUCUUCUUUCUCUUUUCGUCUUCCUUUCUCCCUUCUUCUCUUUUCCUCUUUCUCUUCUUUCUUUCCUUCUCUUUCUUUUCGUUUUCCU